AACCAAUCGGGGCCCACUUCCGUUGCACGAGUUUUCCAUGCGCGUUAAUUCAACUCCGGCUGAAGGCAGACGAAAGUUUAACAAUAUCGGUGCAUGUCGAAUUAAUAACAACAAGCAGGUCGCACGCCUAGAGAGACCUUCGAUGAAAUGAAAGAAACUUAUGGGGAUCAACGAGGUCGCAGGCUACACUAGAAACCCGUUCACUUUAACAGAAGACGUCUGACUGUCGUUUUCAGAGCUAGGAGCAGACGUCAAACUGACGUUUUCAGGACAGACAUGAGACGUCUGACUGUCGUUUUCAGAGGUAGCAACAGACGUCAAACUGACGAUUUCAGAGAUGACGGCAGACGUCUGACUGUCGGUUUCAAAGCUAGGUGCAGACGUCAAACUGAUCGACGUUUUCAGAGAGGACGGCAGACAAAAGACGAAGCAUAUUUGUCUUGAGCAAGCGGCUGAUCGACAUUUUCGGUACUGACAAAAGACGAAGCAUAAUUGUCUUCGGUUUCAGCAAAAGUAGUAGGCAAAGAACUGUCGAUUUCAGUGUUGCAGUCGAAAAAUAAAAUGUCGUUUUCAGUGCUCCAA